rnacentral:rRNA from 1 species
CGAGGACGAACGCUGGCGGUGUGCUUCACACAUGCAAGUCGAACGAGGUAGCAAUACCUAGUGGCGGACGGGUGAGUAACGCGUGGGAAUCUGCCUUUAGAUGGGGGAUAACGGGUCGAAAGACUCGCUAAUACCGCAUAUGACGAAAGUUGAAAGGAGUAAUCCGUCUAAAGAUGAGCCCGCGUCCGAUUAGCUGGUUGGUAGAGUAAAAGCCUACCAAGGCGACGAUCGGUAGCUGGUCUGAGAGGAUGAUCAGCCACAAUGGGACUGAGACACGGCCCAUACUCCUACGGGAGGCAGCAGUGGGGAAUUUUACGCAAUGGGCGAAAGCCUGACGUAGCGACACCGCGUGAGCGAAGAAGCCCCUUGGGGUGUAAAGCUCUGUCAGCUGGAACGAAAAAAAUGACGGUACCAGCAGAGGAAGCAUCGGCUAACUACGUG